CCUUAUACUCAUUUUCAUGUCCAAUAAAAGGAGUAUGUAGUAUGGAGUAUCUUUUCAUAAAGAAGAAAAAUUGUAUGGAGUAUAUGUAAAAGAAGUAUGGAGUAUCCAUCUACAAGCAGUACGGUGAACAUUGUUUUACAUCCGAGUACUACACCAUGCACGUAAAUAAUGCAGCCGUGAUAUCAUGCAGACAUCAUAUGGAGUAGCUAGAAUUAAUCUAUUGCUUUGUGCUUAUAGCUCUGUAGCUUCUGGUGGGUAAUGGUCCCGUGCAUGACAAAGCAGCAGUGGAUAUCGACGCCGGACUGCCGGCGACGUCGAAUUCGUCGCGGCUGUUUGUUGUCGCUGUCCACUUCCGCGAUUUUAGAGCAGCCAUGUAUAGGUGUUCGACCUCGUGGUGGCCGUCACCGUGCAGGAGCAGUCAUCAUCGCCGCCAUGCUGUGCCAGAUCGCGAUGUGCAUCCGUAAUGCAUCACAGUAUCAUGGAUAGAUGGUUCAGAGCAAAGAAAUCAAAUAAAAUAAAGAACGAAUACAAAAGUUUAUCAGCUAUAUGGAUACCUUGUAGCAUGUCUGUUCAGCUAAUUGAACUGGCCACAAUCACCGCCGACUAUAAUAAAAUUUAUUGCGUCAAAUAAAAGACGAUCAAUAGAAGUGGAUGCAUAUGGGAGGCCAGAUUGUAAAGAUAUUUUUGGGGGGGGGGGUUUGAGAGGAAUCCUAAAACUAGCUAGGUUGUUGGGAACAGCCGGG
rnacentral:lncRNA from 1 species